rnacentral:lncRNA from 1 species
AUACAUCCCUUGCUCUCUCUUUGUGUGUGUGUACAUUGAGAUUUCUUAAGUUAUAUUUUAUUUAUUUAUUUAUUUAUUUAUUUAUUUAUUUAUUUAUUUUUGAGACAGGGUUUCUCUGUAUAGCCCUGGCUGUCCUGGAACUCACUUUGUAGACCAGGCUGGCCUCGAACUCAGAAAUCUGCCUGCCGAUGCCUCCUGAGUGCUGGGAUUAAAGGUGUGCGCCCCCCCAACCCCCACCCCCAAAAAAAAAGAAAAAGAAAAAGGAGUGCACUACCAUGCCCAGCUCUUAAAAAAUGUAUUUUUAUGUGCACUGGUGUUUGAGGGUGUCAGAUUCCCUGGAGCUGGAGUUGCAGACAUUUGUGAGAUGGCAUGUGGUUGCUGGGAAUUGAACUCAGGACCCCUGGAAGACCAGCCAAUUCUUUUAACCGCUGAAUCAUCUCUUCAGUAUCCUUAUUAGUAUUUUUAAGAUAGUUUUACUAUGUAGCCCUGGCAACAUGAGUUUUGAGUUGGAAGCCUUAUUCCUUCUGUGACAUCUUCAUACCUCAGUAAUAGAACCUGUUAAUUGGGUUUAUGCCUUUCACUCAAUGUUGAGCUCCCUGGGAAGACUGAAUACUGGUUGCCUUGCUGUGUAUAUUUUGGUAUUCCCUACCAUGUAGUAUAGUUUAUGGGCACACAGGAAAGAUUGUCUUAGUCUUAUCUUUAGUUUGGCAAGAAUGCAAAGAGAUCAGCAAUGAUAUAAUAAAUUGAUUUGGUUUGUUUUGGAGGCUAGGAAGUCUAAGAACAUGGUAUCAACAUCUGAGAUGGUCAAUCAUGCUGUAUAUUUUCAUGUGGAUUGCAGGUUUUACUGUGUGGUCCUGGAUGGCACUCUGUAUUUUCGAUGGCAAAUCUCAUGGUGAUAAUCUUUUUCUUUGUGGUACUAGGAAUUGAACUGGGAGCCUUUUGAAUGCUCUCAAGUGCCCUACCACUGAACUAUAUAUCUCUUCAGUUCUUUUUUGUAUUUUGUUUUGUGACUGGUUUUACUAAGCAGUUGUCCAGGGUUGGCCUUGCUCACACUCUAGGCAAGGCAGGCCUUGAUCUUAUAUUCCAUCUCAAGUCUUCCAGGCUUGUUCCACUAGGCCAGACUUAAUUUAACAUUAAACCAUUCUUGAAGGUCCAACCUUGUUUAUCUUUUACUAGCACCCAGUUUCUAAAAAUUGAACUUUGGGAAACACAUUCAAAUCAUAACAAAUAUGUUUUCAAUGAAUACUUACCUUAUUUAGGUUUCUCUUUCUGUUAGAACAUUGGUGUUAGUUGCUCAUGAAAGGACAAUGAGUCCAUUUGUUUAAAUUUAGCCAUUUCUUGAAGACAUUCUGAAAUCCUGCAAUAAUCCCACCAUCGGUCCAGUCUAGUUAAUGCUAUAGUUCAUUAAUACUUAAGUAAGUAUCUUAGAGUUUUAUUGCUGUGAAGAGACACCAUGACCAAGGUAAAGGUAACUCUUGUGAAAGAAAACAUUUAACUGAGACAGUUUGAGAGGUUCAGUGAUCUUGGUGGGAAACAUGGCAGUGUGUAGCCAGACAUGGUGGCAGAAGAGCAGAGAAUUCGACAUCUUAAAGAUUUAUUUAUUUAUUUUAUGUAUAUGUAUAUGCCUCUGCUCGCUCAGGCCCAAAGAUUUAUUUAUUAUUAGAAAUAAGUACACUGUAGCUGUCUUCAGACACAUCUGAAGAGGGUGUCAGAUCUCAUUACUGGUAGUUGUGAGCCACCACGUGGUUGCUGGGAUUUGAACUCAGGACCUUCAGGAGAGCAGUCAGUGCUCUUACCCACUGAGCCAUCUAACCAGCCUGAGAAUUCUACAUCUUGGCAGCAGCCAGGAGGAGGUUCUCCCCCACUGGGCGGAGCUUGUUCAUAGGCCCUCAAAGCCUACCCACACAGUGACACAUUUCCUCUAACAAGGACACCUCCUAAUAGUAUUUCCAGUGGUCCAAGCAUUCAGACACAUGAGUCUAUGAGGGCCAAAUCUAUUCUAACCACUGUGUAGUAAGUUAUGGUUUUUUGUUUUUGUUUUGUUUUAUAUAAUACACUUUAAUGGUAAAAUUUUGACAACACAUUGUAUAUCUGACACCAUCUUCUACUUGAGCCUCUAUCCAGGCAACUCAGAAACAGAAAGGUAGUCACUGCAUGUCCACUAGUCACAGGAGCCCUAAGAAAACAAAGACUUACUUCUCUGGCUUAGAGUAGUUAAGUUUUACAUGUUACUAUAGUAACAUUUACAUGUUACAUGUUUAACACAUGUUACAUGUUUAACAAGUAAAUUUUACAUGUUUUUUAAAAUUGUCUAUAUGCGCUUCUACCUCAGUUUAAACAAAAUAGGAAAAUAAAGGCCAGCUUUGUAUAGCUUUUCACAAGUCUUUCACCUUCCUUUUUCAUUAACCCUUUACCAGAAGUUCUGAAUUCCGAUCGUUAUAGGAAUCUUCUUUUAUUACAAGCUACUCUUUUGUUUUGAUUUGUUUUGUAUUUUGUUAUUCAAGACAGGGUUUCACUUUGGUAGCCCUGGCUGUCAUGGAACUUGCUCUAUAGACAACUCACAGAGAUCUGCCUGCUUAGGCAUGAACCACUACAUCCAGGUUAAACAUACCUUUUUAAUACAUAAUAGGUUGUUUUAUUUUUAAGUUGUUUCCAUAAAGAUAGAGAAAAUUAUGGUUUAGGAGGCCAUGAAGAUGGCUCAGUAGUUUAGAGUACUUGCUGGCAAUAACAAGCACUAGAGUACAAAUUCCAGGCUGUCUGCAACAAGCUAGGCUUCCUGAAUAUGCCUCUGAGCCCCAAGUCCCGGGGAAACAAAGACAGGAGAGUCACUGGGGCUUCUGCUUUGCAGGAUAGCAGAGAAAAUGUGAAUAAUUUCUGGGUUCUAGGAGAGAUCUUGCCUCAAAGGGAUAGGUGGAGAGACACCAACACCCUUUUCUGCCUUCCAGAUGUGCAUUCACUUAUACAGGCACAUAAGCUCAUAUAUUUAUAAAAAUAUAAUUUUUUUUUAAAGAAACAGCUGGUUGUUGUGGUACACUCUUUAAUUUCAGUACUUUGGAGUCAGAGAUAGACAGAUCUUUUGAGUUUGUGGCCAACCAGAGCUACAUAGAGACCCUAUUUCC